GGAGAGGUGGCCGAGAGGCUGAAGGCAGCUGCCUGCUAAGCAGUUGUAGGGAUAAAACCCUACCGGGGGUUCGAAUCCCCCCCUCUCCGCCA
rnacentral:tRNA from 1 species